AACGAACGCUGGCGGCAGGCUUAACACAUGCAAGUCGAGCGCGGGCCUUCGGGCCUGAGCGGCGGACGGGUGAGUAACGCGUGGGAACGUGGCCUUUCCUCCGGAAUAGCCCUGGGAAACUGGGAGUAAUGCCGGAUACGCCCUCCUUGAGUGGAUCUUGGGGGGGAAAGAUUUAUCGGGGAAGGAUCGGCCCGCGUCGGAUUAGGUAGUUGGUGGGGUAACGGCCUACCAAGCCGACGAUCCGUAGCUGGUUUGAGAGGAUGAUCAGCCACACUGGGACUGAGACACGGCCCAGACUCCUACGGGAGGCAGCAGUGGGGAAUCUUGGACAAUGGGGGCAACCCUGAUCCAGCCAUGCCGCGUGAGCGAUGAAGGCCUUAGGGUUGUAAAGCUCUUUCAGCGGGGAAGAUAAUGACGGUACCCGCAGAAGAAGCCCCGGCUAACUCCGUGCCAGCCGCCGCAGUAACAC
rnacentral:rRNA from 1 species